AACGAACGCUGGCGGCAGGCUUAACACAUGCAAGUCGAACGCCCCGCAAGGGGAGUGGCGCACGGGUGAGUAACGCGUGGGAACCUACCUAUCGGUACGGAAUAACACAGGGAAACUUGUGCUAAUACCGUAUGAGCUCUACGGAGGAAAGAUUUAUCGCCGAUAGAUGGGCCCGCGUCCGAUUAGCUAGUUGGUGAGGUAACGGCUCACCAAGGCUUCGAUCGGUAGCUGGUCUGAGAGGAUGAUCAGC
rnacentral:rRNA from 1 species